GUUUGCUAGAUCACUAUUACUAUUAGGUCCUUGCAAAGUUUGAACUUUAGAAAAUAGAUAAUAAGCGACUACAAUAAAACGUAUAUUGUACAAUUUUUUUAACAGUGUAUAGGAAAAUCUAUUUACAUUACUACUCCAAACUUAAGCUACUUAACUAAGCAUUCCCGGAGCUUUUUCAUUGGCUUGCCUAUUUCCUAGUGGAAGGUUGUAACUUGUCUGGCCUAAGGUUUCAGUCAGUGUGAAAUACAUGAGACCAUGCAUUGUACGAAUGUUUUUCCAGUAAAGUCACUUGUUUGGAAUGCAGGACUUUGUAACCUUCAGUUAGUAGGACUAAGGUCCAACCAGUAAUCUUUGUAAGUGGUCCUGUUUGCUGUAUUUAAGUUGGCUUAGUGAUAGCAUAGAAUAACCAAAACCUUUCUUCUGCUUCGGUAUAAACGGGCAAAAUUAAAGUUUUUUCCUCCUGGCUGUGCUUCAUGUUUUUGCCAACAGCCAUGAUUCGAGGUCAUCUGAUGAACUCUUGAACACUUGCUUCUCAUCUUCACCUGUGAGCUUCCAUGCUGCAGAAGCCAACUGUUUUUUCUCAAUCAACAUCAAAUCUUUGCACUCAUCU
rnacentral:lncRNA from 1 species